GUAGGGAGAGACGGCACAGAAAGGUUCAUGCAUGCUUCUUGCCCAUUCCUGUGGAUUCUCCUACUUCUCCCAAGAUGAAAGAGGAAAAAGCAGAUUUUACUGGACUCUCAGGGAAUUCCCAGGCAAAAAGUCAUGGAGGUAGAAAUGGGCAGGACUACAUGAGGAAUGAGGUGAAUUUUAAGUAAGGGGAGUGGUGCAUGACAAGGAAGGCUAGAUUCAGUAGGAGUGGGGCAGGGCACCCCCCUUAGAGCAGUCUGGCCAUAUCUGGGCAGAGUCACGCCAUCCCGCGGCUUCCCAAUGGGCAGAGGCGAGAGGAAACCAGUGUUUUCGGAUUAACCCAAGUCCCAGGUCCUUGGGGGACCUGGUUCAUGGCCAUGGAGCCCAGGUGCUCCUGGAAAGCAGGCAAGGUGAUACUCUCCACAGCUCAAAGGUAAUCAUCUUCAAACAACCAACACUCAACAGAGAAAUAAAGGCCCUCCAAGAAAUUCUGAUGGCUAUGAAUAACACAACAAAUCACUAGCUUUUGGUCAUUCACUCCAUGAGCGCCCGUGACUUCUCAUUCCGAGCGAGACCACACACGGGCGAUAGCGGAUCUCAGGGUGAUGAGGCCCCAUCACAGCUCUGCAGGGAAGGCCAGCUUCCUGGGGCUGGUGUGACCAACAUGGAACCUGAGCUAGUGUCUCAGAGUCAGGAGGGAGGGGCCGAUCGUGCUAGGAAGGGUCCUGAAAAGUGAGGUGCUGUUGCCAAACACACAAGGAAAGAAGCCACACCAGGAAGGCCACACGUCCCACCCAAAGAACCUGGCCCACGGAGGCAGUGAUGAGAAGCCACACUGCAGCACAGGGUCCUACUGAAAACUAGUAGGAAUCUCGGAGAUGUGUUGGCGUCCUCUAGAAUUCCAGACAACUAGGACCACUUGGAGGCUUCUGGUAAGUAAAAAGGAGUUCCUUGAUAGAAUUUAACUUUUAGAACUAUCACCUAGCAGCAAGCUGGGCAAUGAACUGCGGUGAUUAGGGGCAGGGAGAUGACUGUAGCCGUGACUACCCAGCACCUGGGUGAACGUAGUGUGGUCACUUCUCUGCUUCAUUUACAUUUAUUCUUAUCUUCUCGCAGCUUGCCCAAAAGGAAUCCAGUCGGGCAUCAUGUUCACAACGUGAAGAGUGAAACUUGGGGCACCGGACAAGUGUCCGAGCGCGUGGCCUGGCGCUGUUUUCCAAAGAUCCUGGUUUCUCCAGUCGUGGAGGAUUUCUCCCCCACGGGGACUGUCUUGCACAUGAUGGGAGACAGCAAUUGUGUGUGACCAGCAGUGAGAACACAGGGUUUAAGACCUCCCAGACUCGGGUCGCAACCCUGCAUUUCGAACUUGUUUGCCCUCUUGCCAACACGGAACACGCUGCCUCUGUUCCGGCCACACUGCUCCAAGGCUUACACUUUCUUGUCUGUGCCCCUACAUGCACGUGUUUUCUCAUAUCCCCUCAAACAAAUUUCUGUUUAUUAAAAUGUUACCCACUAC